rnacentral:rRNA from 1 species
AUUGAACGCUGGCGGCAUGCCUUACACAUGCAAGUCGAACGGUAACGGGCCUUCGGGUGCCGACGAGUGGCGAACGGGUGAGUAAUGCAUCGGAACGUACCUUUCAGGGGGGGAUAACGUAGCGAAAGUUACGCUAAUACCGCAUAUUCUGUGACCAGGAAAGCAGGGGAUCGCAAGGACUGGCGCUGCUGGAGCGGCGGAUGUCAGAUUAGCUAGUUGGUGGGGUAAAGGGUCACCAAGGCGAGGAUCUGUAGCGGGUCUGAGAGGAUGAUCCGCCACACUGGAACUGAGACACGGUCCAGACUCCUACGGGAGGCAGCAGUGGGGAAUUUUGGACAAUGGGGGCAACCCUGAUCCAGCCAUGCCGCGUGAGUGAAGAAGGCCUUCGGGUUGUAAAGCUCUUUCGGUCGGGAAGAAAUCGCAUGGGUUAAUACCCUGUGCGGACGACGGUACCGGCAUAAGAAGCACCGGCUAACUACGUGCCAGCCGCCGCGGUAAAAC